CUGGUUUGACUUUCAUUGUAAAGCGGGAUGAAAGUCUUUUCAAGAGUUUUCAAAUGCAUGUUGUAUACAUCUAAAAAAAUUGUGUUGUAUAGAAAGGAUGGCAUAUUACCUCAGUUCGCUUUGGGCGCAUUGAACACAGGUACCUUAAGCGUACAUGGCCAGAACAAAAUUAAUUACACCCUCCGAUACAUAUUAAUUGUCGCCGAUUUAAUACUUCACUUAAGAUGAGUUUGCACAACAAUAUCAUGCUAAGAACAAGAUCCAGCAAAUGAAAAAAGAAGAAGAAAAAC
rnacentral:lncRNA from 1 species